AAGAGCUGCUAUAAAUAUUUAAUUUUUAUUUAAUAUAAAUAUUAAAUGCCAAACAGAGAAGCAAAUUUGAGUCUAGAGGAGCCCAUGAAGUUGGUUGAUAGGGGAGUCACAUGGUCAAAUUACUUUGGCAGGAAUGUGUAGGACAGACUAAAGUGGGAAGAAAUUUGAGGCCGGUCCCAAUGAAGAGGUUGUUGCAAUAAUCCAAACAGGAGGUGAUGCUUGAAUUAAGGUAGUAGCUGUGUGAGUAGACAGAAGGGGUUGGAUGGGAGAGGUGUGAAGGCACAAACAGCAAAAUGCUCCAGUGGUUCCAUGGAGCUGUGAUCAUUGCAUCCCCGCCUACAACAACUGUCUGUAUCUUCCCAUCAAUUCUCUCGAGGGGUGCCAGCCACUGUGAUGGGACUCUCCCUGGAGUUCUCUGGGCAUCAAGAGAACAAUGCAGCACCAUAGGCCAUCCACCCUCCAUCCCUCAUUUUCACCACAUAACUGGCCUCCUUUCCUGGUCACACACUUUGCUGGUGACGUCCUUUACUGGCCUUCCCUUGCUCUACUCCUGGUUUACAGCAUGUUUCAGCUUGCUCAUGCCCACCAUGAGGCUCUCCAACAGUCUGAAGGAUCCUCAGUUUCAAUUCUUGGGUGUCUGUGGUGUUUUGUGAUAUCACAGGAUUGCAACAACAGCACCGGAAGAGGGUUCAUAACAAAAAGGUAAGCCUCUGUUUUAGGGAGAAGCUUGGGGAGGGGGGUCAUUAAAAAGACUUUGUAAUUUCCCAAAGGCCACCCAGCCCACUCUAUUCCUCUUGGCCAGCUCUGUGUUUUUGCCCAUUGUUAGGGGCCGGCUGUUCCCGGUGGGUCUCGGCUUUGUCCACUGAUACGGAAACUGUCCUGGAAGCGGAGUAGAGGUGCACGGGCUGUGCGUGACGUCACUCUAGAGGUGGCGAAGCCUAUGCUUCUGCGACGUCUCCAUCCUAUAGAGGCAUGUUAACACGCCUCUUAUAAUGUCUAUUGAGGCGGCUGAGCCUAUGCGCUCAUGCCACGUCUCUGUCUAGAGCUGCAGCAGUACAUGUUUGUUCUCCUCCGCUGAAGGGGUGGGGCGGAUUGGUGGUCGGGGUCAAUCCUCGCGGGGGGCGGUACUCUCCCUGCUCCCUCCCUCUGGCUUCUUGCUUUGCUUCUCUGUCUGCUGAUUUCUCUCUCUCACCUUUAUGGCUUUUCUGUAAUAAAUGGUUAAACACCUCCCGAUCGACUUGUCCUUUGGUGUAUCCGGGUGGGCUCCGAAGACUCGUGGAUGGCCAGGAGUGUGAGUAUGAACCUGGCAGCCUGAUCUCAGUAGGAGAUAAAGCACGGAGUGGUUCCCAACGUGGGGCAGAAAACUUUGAUAAACCUGUCCGGAUACCAGAGAAAGAUGUCAGAGCAUGUAUAACAACUCACAGCUCGAAUGCAAAGUAUGAGGAUUCUGGGAAAGCGCAGAAGGAGCCAAUCUACAGUGACAGUCGCCUUCCCACAUGGGGUCCAGUGAAAGCUCCCUCUCAUCGAGCGAUGGAAGACUCCUGAACUUGUAUUUUUAACAUUAGUAGCUUUACUUUCUGCUCAAGUGUGUAAUGUACAGACUGCUCAGCACUGGACUUAAUUUUCCUUUUCCACCCUGGAUGCAACCCCUCACAUAUAUAGACAAAUUGGGACUACACAUAUACUAAUAAUACCUGUAUAUUCGGAAGACGAGAAGAUCGCUAUCUCCAGGACAAAAGUCAAUGUUACAAUUACCCUCAGAUCUCUAGCAUCCAGUACACCUAUAUGUUUUUCAAAAUUUAGCAACAAUAUUGAAUCAUGUCUGUUCCUUGUUACAUCAUUUGUUAAUACCAGUUUAUCUAUUGGAUAUGUAAAUUUUAUUCAAUCUAAUUCUGUUUUUUGGAUUGAAAUGAUGCUUGUAUCAAUUGUACUCUCAAACAAUGUAUUGAUCAUAAUGACUAUGUUGUACUUUUGGUAAAACAAUUGUCAUUUGUUAUUUUCCCUACUAAUAUUACACAUGAAUAGUUCCAGAACUCUGGUAAACGUGUUCCUAAAUUAUCAUUUCCUCCUUAAGUCAAUCAAAACAAUUUAUUUGUCUCCUUA